rnacentral:rRNA from 1 species
GCGCGAAACUUUACAAUGCCGGCAACGGCGAUAAGGGGACCUCGAGUGCCAGGUUACAAAUCUGGCUGUCGUGAUGCCUAAAAAGCAUUGCAUAGCAAGGGCCGGGCAAGACCGGUGCCAGCCGCCGCGGUAACACCGGCGGCUCGAGUGGUAACCGUUAUUAUUGGGUCUAAAGGGUCUGUAGCCGGCCGGAUAAGUCUCUUGGGAAAUCCAGCAGCUCAACUGUUGGGCUUUCAGGAGAUACUGUCUGGCUCGAGGCCGGGAGAGGUGAGAGGUACUUCAGGGGUAGGGGUGAAAUCUUGUAAUCCUUGAAGGACCACCAGUGGCGAAGGCGUCUCACCAGAACGGACCUGACGGCAAGGGACGAAAGCUAGGGGCACGAACCGGAUUAGAUACCCGGGUAGUCCUAGCCGUAAACGAUACUCGCUAGGUGUCGGCCACGGUGCGACCGUUGUCGGUGCCGUAGGGAAGCCGUGAAGCGAGCCACCUGGGAAGUACGGCCGCAAGGCUGAAACUUAAAGGAAUUGGCGGGGGAGCAC